CAUUGUGUAUAUACCACCCUGAACGCGCCCGAUCUCGUCUGAUCUCGGACGCUAAGCAGGGUCGGGCCUGGUUAGUACUUGGA
rnacentral:rRNA from 1 species